ACACGGGGGGCGCAAGCGUUAUUCGGAAUUAUUGGGUGUAAAGGGCGUGUAGGCGGUUUUAUCGGUCAGAUGUGAAAGCCCAGGGCUCAACCCUGGACGUGCAUUUGAAACAGUAAGACUUGAGUACGGUAGAGGAAAGCGGAAUUCCUGGUGUAGAGGUGAAAUUCGUAGAUAUCAGGAGGAACACCGAUGGCGAAGGCAGCUUUCUGGACCGAAACUGACGCUGAUGCGCGAAGGCGUGGGUAGCGAACAGGAUUAGAAACCCGAGUAGUCC
rnacentral:rRNA from 1 species